CUUGUCGCCGUCGAUCUCGGCAGUGGCUGCCUCGACAAGCCGACGCCGCUAGGCGUCAAGCACGAAGUGAAUCUGACCUCAUGGAUUUGGCCUCCUGGCCUACCGGAUCAGUUUUACGGAACUCAAUUUGCUCAGCUGAUUUUUGAUGGAAUCCUGUUUGUGGGAACGGGAAUUCACCGGUGUACUGCUGUUAUGGAUGGCUGGGUGAAGUGUCCCUUUUUCUUUUAAAUGAUGCUCUGGUUGAAAUUUGGAAUAAAAGGAACAUAAAUUUAUCUGCUGAAGCCUGGCGAUAAUGAUAAAGCAAUGCUGCAACUUUCUUUGUGGUAUGACUGUCUCUGGUGAUAAUGCAUUUUAAACCCAUACAGAUUUAUAUGAUUGAACUCCGUAGUUAUAUAUAGGACAUGUUAAACACCAAAUUUGGUUCCACCUUUGAGUUUGCACUGAAGUACUUGAAUUUUUUUUAUCCUAUUGUCAAGAGUUCGAAACCUAAAUAAAAUCGAGUCAACAUGCACCUUUUAUUGUGAUGGCUCUACAUCAAUCCACUUCGGAGAAAUUGGAAAGAUCUUUGACACACCUUGGAUAUCAUGGUUCAUCUCUCACAAGCACACACAACGACUGAGCACACAUACAAAUGCCCUAUUGUCACAUUGGCAUUUUAAAUCAUUGUCAUCCACUUAAAUAAGUAUACAUAGGUUGUCUUAAAGGAGACCACUCUGCCUUUAUAUUGAAAUAGGAACCAAGAAGUGUAGAUGCAGCUGACAACAUGUUAUUGAUCUUUUCUUUGGGAGAUCACUCUUAUUACUACCUCCAUCCUUCCACGUACAUUUGUGUCCACCAAGGUUUACCACUGUGUUCCUAAUUCAGGGGGCACAAGAAACUUAAUUUUAAAUGGUAGAUAGAGGAAAGCAAUAAGCUAGACUAUAAAAGAAAUCUUAUGAGUUA